rnacentral:rRNA from 1 species
GAUGAACGCUGGCGGCGUGCCUAAUACAUGUAAGUCGAGCGAAUGGAUUAAGAGCUUGCUCUUAUGAAGUUAGCGGCGGACGGGUGGGUAACACGUGGGUAACCUGCCCAUAAGACUGGGAUAACUCCGGGAAACCGGGGCUAAUACCGGAUAAUAUUUUGAACUGCAUGGUUCAAAAUUGAAAGGCGGCUUCGGCUGUCACUUAUGGAUGUACCCGCGUCGCAUUAGCAAGUUGGUGAGGUAACGGCUCACCAAGGAAACGAUGCGUAGCCGACCUGAGAGGGUGAUCGGCCACACUGGGACUGAGACACGGCCCAGACUCCUACGGGAGGCAGCAGUAGGGAGUCUUCCGCAAUGGACGAAAGUCUGACGGAGCAACGCCGCGUGAGUGAUGAAGGCUUCCGGGUCGUAAAACUCUGUUGUUAGGGAAGAACAAGUGCUAGUUGAAUAAGCUGGCACCUUGACGGUACCUAACCAGAAAGCCACGGCUAACUACGUGCCAGCCGCCGCCGUAA